rnacentral:rRNA from 1 species
CCUACGGGAGGCAGCAGUGAGGAAUAUUGGUCAAUGGGCGCUAGCCUGAACCAGCCAAGUAGCGUGAAGGAUGAAUGCCCUAUGGGUUGUAAACUUCUUUUAUAUGGGAAUAAAGUGCAGUAUGUAUACUGCUUUGCAUGUACCUUAUGAAUAAGGAUCGGCUAACUCCGUGCCAGCAGCCGCGGUAAUACGGAGGAUCCGAGCGUUAGCCGGAUUUAUUGGGUUUAAAGGGAGCGUAGGCGGGUUGUUAAGUCAGUUGUGAAAGUUUGCGGCUCAACCGUAGAAUUGCAGUUGAUACUGGCAGCCUUGAGUACAGUAGAGGUAGGCGGAAUUCGUGGUGUAGCGGUGAAAUGCUUAGAUAUCACGAAGAACUCCGAUUGCGAAGGCAGCCUGCUGGACUGUAACUGACGCUGAUGCUCGAAAGUGUGGGUAUCAAACAGGAUUAGAUACCCGGGUAGUC